AUGCGUCACGUUUAUUUGGGCCUUCUGCAUCCCACUGGCAGGGAAGCGCCCGAUUUUUUUUUUCUCCUCCUUGCCUUACAACGUUCUGUAUAUGUUUAUUCCAAGCGUGGCUCUUCUGGAAAACAAGGUAUCGAAGGGAAGUCGCGACGCAAAGUAUGCAUUUGGAGACAAUUCUUUGCCGUUUACUGGAUGAAAUUUCAGGCACCCCCUUGGAUUGGUAUUUAAUGUAAAAAUUCACCUUGUUGAACACUCACACCAUGAGCAAGUUUACCCAAAUAUCUUGAGCCUCUCUACAAGACUGUUAGUUUCAUUUGUUACCUUUCCAAUGAACUGACCAUCACUUGUUGGAACAUUUUUGUGCAGUCAGGUCCCAAAGUGCUGAUC
ensembl:lncRNA